AUACGGAGGGUCCAAGCGUUAUCCGGAAUCAUUGGGUUUAAAGGGUCCGCGGGCGGUCAAUUAAGUCAGAGGUGAAAGCCCAUCGCUCAACGAUGGAACUGCCUUUGAUACUGGUUGACUUGAGUUAUACGGAAGUAGAUAGAAUAAGUAGUGUAGCGGUGAAAUGCAUAGAUAUUACUUAGAAUACCGAUUGCGAAGGCAGUCUACUACGUAUAUACUGACGCUGAGGGACGAAAGCGUGGGGAGCGAACAGGAUUAGAAACCCUAGUAGUCC
rnacentral:rRNA from 1 species